GAUGAACGCUGGCGGCGUGCUUAAUACAUGCAAGUCGAACGAAGAGCCUUUGCAGCAAUGCGAGGGUUUCUUAGUGGCGAACGGGUGCGUAACGCGUUGGUGACCUGCCCCAAAGUGUGGGAUAACAGUUCGAAAGGACUGCUAAUACCGCAUGUGGUCAUCGGGUUUAGAAGCCGAUGACUAAAGCAGUAAUGCGCUUUGGGAGGGACCUGCGUCCCAUCAGCUAGUUGGUGAGGUAACGGCCCACCAAGGCUUCGACGGGUAGGGGACCUGAGAGGGUGGUCCCCCACACUGGCACUGAAACACGGGCCAGACACCUACGGGUGGCAG
rnacentral:rRNA from 1 species